rnacentral:rRNA from 1 species
AGUACGGCGAGUGAAGCGGCAACAGCUCAAAUUUGAAAUCUGGCCCCUAGGGCCCGAGUUGUAAUUUGCAGAGGAUGCUUUUGGCGAGGUGCCUUCCGAGUUCCCUGGAACGGGACGCCAUAGAGGGUGAGAGCCCCGUCUGGUUGGAUACCGAGCCUCUGUAAAGCUCCUUCGACGAGUCGAGUAGUUUGGGAAUGCUGCUCUAAAUGGGAGGUAUAUGUCUUCUAAAGCUAAAUACCGGCCAGAGACCGAUAGCGCACAAGUAGAGUGAUCGAAAGAUGAAAAGCACUUUGAAAAGAGGGUUAAAUAGUACGUGAAAUUGUUGAAAGGGAAGCGCUUAUGACCAGACUUGGACCCGGUGAAUCAUCCAGCGUUCUCGCUGGUGCACUUUGCCGGGCUCAGGCCAGCAUCAGUUUGUCUCGGGGGAUAAAGGCUUAGGGAAGGUGGCUCCUCCGGGAGUGUUAUAGCCCUUUGCACAAUACCCUGGGGCGGACUGAGGUUCGCGCAUCUGCAAGGAUGCUGGCGUAAUGGUCAUCAGCGACCCGUCUUGAAACACGGACCAAGGAGUCGUCUUCGUAUGCGAGUGUUCGGGUGUAAAACCCCUACGCGUAAUGAAAGUGAACGCAGGGAAGAGCUUCGGCGCAUCAUCGACCGAUCCUGAUGUUCUCGGAUGGAUUUGAGUAAGAGCAUACGGGGCCGGACCCGAAAGAAGGUGAACUAUGCCUGUAUAGGGUGAAGCCAGAGGAAACUCUGGUGGAGGCUCGCAGCGGUUCUGACGUGCAAAUCGAUCGUCAAAUAUGGGCAUGGGGGCGAAAGACUAAUCGAACCUUCUAGUAGCUGGUUUCCGCCGAAGUUUCCCUCAGGAUAGCAGUGUUGAUCUCAGUUUAUGAGGUAAAGCGAAUGAUUAGGGACUCGGGGGCGCUAUAUAGCCUUCAUCCAUUCUCAAACUUUAAAUAUGUAAGAAGCUCUUGUUACUUAAUUGAACGUGGGCAUUCGAAUGUAUCAACACUAGUGGGCCAUUUUUGGUAAGCAGAACUGGCGAUGCGGGAUGAACCGAACGCGAGGUUAAGGUGCCAGAGUAGACGCUCAUCAGACACCACAAAAGGUGUUAGUACAUCUUGACAGCAGGACGGUGGCCAUGGAAGUCGGAAUCCGCUAAGGACUGUGUAACAACUCACCUGCCGAAUGUACUAGCCCUGAAAAUGGAUGGCCGCUCAAGCGUCUCACCCAUACCUCGCCCUCAGGGUAGAAACGAAGCCCUGAGGAGUAGGCGGACGUGGAGGUCAGUGACGAA